AAGUUAAGAGCUGGGGAGAGAGCUGUCUGGGAACUGUCCCUUUGGGCAGGUAAAGGCAGUGGGUUACUCUUCAGCAUGAUGUUAGCGUGUGCCAGGCAGGGCAGCUCCAGCCUGUGUGUAUCGUUGUGUGGUCUGUUGUUUGUGUCUCAGACCCUCCUUGGGUCCCAGUCUCCUCUUUGUGCUCCAGGAGCACAGCAUUUACCUUGCAGCCCAUCCUUAGGUCUUGAGCAUCAUCUGUGCUCGCCAUCGUAGUGCCCAUUGGGUGCUGCUUUUCUUGCCUGAACUCAAAAGCACAGCUUAGCCUCGCGACUCAGAUGUCUCCUCUUGAUCCUUUUUUGCGCCAGUGUUGUGGUCAGUGUCACCAGCCCCGCUCUGGAGGCUUCUCUUUCACAGGGAGCCCUUUUUUUCUGGCCGUUCUUCCUUGUGUCCUUGCAUUCUUAGGUCUUGCCAAAGCUUCUUGUCCAUCAGUCUGUUUCAGUUCUGAAUGUAGCUUCUUGUCACAGUUUGCAAUGUUUGACCUUUCUCUAGGGCUGCCUUGUGGCCUCCUUAUGGCUGAAACCAGAAGUGAAUUGAGUAUAGGAAUAUUGGAACUAAUGUGUGUGGGAUAUCAGUUCAAAUUGCAUGCCUGUUAAAGACUUGUGCAAACUGACAACUGCUUGACCUAAGUAACUUGACUUUUGACUAGACUUGUGACUUGACUUAGCAUGAGUAUCUGGAGUGAUGAGGCCUUAGGCUGCAAUUCUAAUUAAUCUUUAGCUGAACUCCUGUGAUGUUCACAGUUAGACCUUCACUCUACCAACUGUAAUAAUACUGAAACAAGAUAUGGACAUGAUAAUUACUCAAAAUGAUCUUCUAAACUAGGAAGAUGCAUUGACUGAAAGUUAAGUGGGAGCAAUUGGACAAAAUUGGAAUGUUGAAGAUUUUUCCAGCUGAGAAACAAGUGGAAGAGAACAAGACUGGAAGCACCCAGGUCAAGCUGCAGUAAACUGAUUCUGUGGCAGAACUGAGGGUCUGAGCUUCUCUCUUUGGUUUGGAGGUGAAGACUGGAUCCAGCUGCACCUAGGCUCUGCCCUGAGAAGAAGUUGAGAAACCAAGGAGGUCCUGUCUGAACCUCACAACUCAAAAGGAGGGUCUUUCUGGACUCUUCAACACUCAUCUCGUGCUUGCGGUCCUGUAUGUCUUGCUACCUGGUGGCAUCUGCAUUGGAACAGUAAUUUUUCUUGCUGAGAGUUCUCUCUCGCUGUUGUUGCAUCCUUUGUGUUUGUGUAUUGUGUCUCUGUGCUGUUGGGCUGGAGCUGCUCUCUCUGGAGGCUGUAGUAACUGUGGGGUUGGGAGAAGAAUAGUAACGAGAGCCUGUGGUUCAUGUUGCUGUGCUGUCUGUGACUGUUGAGGCGCAGAUGGAGCAUUUGAAGUGAAGUAGCAGCCCUCAGCAGGGGAGGGCAGUCACUUUCAUAGUGUUUUUGAGAGGGGGUGGCUGGAGCCAUCUAGGAGAGGCUGCUGGAGCAAUAGCCAAGCAGGUUGGGUGUUCAGGUUGUUAAGGCCUGAACUUGUGGGGCAUAAUGUUAACUUGUUUUUUUAGCUUCAUUGUAGGUAGUUAGGAUCUAGAAGAUAUUCCUAAAUGGGAAUCUCUGGAAUUGCAUCCAGCUGAUUGCUUGUUACUGCUUUUUCAUAUGCAGGGAGAUGAGCCACGCACCAGAGGGUGAUGGAGGAGAGGAGCAGAGUGUGGUGAGGAGCUGGGUUGGUGCAUAUUGAAGAAUCUGGGUGGAAAGCACCGAGGUAAGCGGGAGAUCUGCACUGGAGGUGACUCGAGCAAGGCAACACACAGGGCUGGAUGUGGCAACCUGUAACCAUCAGAGGCUGGACAGAUGCCACAAGCAAGGAUGGCCUGAGUAUCCGAUUCUGGAACCAGCAGAUCACUAUGAGGAGCCUGACAAUGGCAGGAACUUCCUGGUGAGGACAGCUUGUCAAAGAGGAUGGCUGCAGAGCCCUGGCCAUC